AAAUUGAAGAGUUUGAUCAUGGCUCAGAUUGAACGCUGGCGGCAGGCCUAACACAUGCAAGUCGAGCGGUAGCACAGAGAGCUUGCUCUCGGGUGACGAGCGGCGGACGGGUGAGUAAUGUCUGGGAAACUGCCUGAUGGAGGGGGAUAACUACUGGAAACGGUAGCUAAUACCGCAUAACGUCGCAAGACCAAAGUGGGGGACCUUCGGGCCUCAUGCCAUCAGAUGUGCCCAGAUGGGAUUAGCUAGUAGGUGGGGUAACGGCUCACCUAGGCGACGAUCCCUAGCUGGUCUGAGAGGAUGACCAGCCACACUGGAACUGAGACACGGUCCAGACUCCUACGGGAGGCAGCAGUGGGGAAUAUUGCACAAUGGGCGCAAGCCUGAUGCAGCCAUGCCGCGUGUGUGAAGAAGGCCUUCGGGUUGUAAAGCACUUUCAGCGGGGAGGAAGGCGUUAAGGUUAAUAACCUUGGCGAUUGACGUUACCCGCAGAAGAAGCACCGGCUAACUCCGUGCCAGCAGCCGCGGUAAUACGGAGGGUGCAAGCGUUAAUCGGAAUUACUGGGCGUAAAGCGCACGCAGGCGGUCUGUCAAGUCGGAUGUGAAAUCCCCGGGCUCAACCUGGGAACUGCAUUCGAAACUGGCAGGCUAGAGUCUUGUAGAGGGGGUAGAAUUCCAGGUGUAGCGGUGAAAUGCGUAGAGAUCUGGAGGAAUACCGGUGGCGAAGGCGGCCCCCUGGACAAAGACUGACGCUCAGGUGCGAAAGCGUGGGGAGCAAACAGGAUUAGAUACCCUGGUAGUCCACGCCGUAAACGAUGUCGAUUUGGAGGUUGUGCCCUUGAGGCGUGGCUUCCGGAGCUAACGCGUUAAAUCGACCGCCUGGGGAGUACGGCCGCAAGGUUAAAACUCAAAUGAAUUGACGGGGGCCCGCACAAGCGGUGGAGCAUGUGGUUUAAUUCGAUGCAACGCGAAGAACCUUACCUGGUCUUGACAUCCACAGAACUUAGCAGAGAUGCUUUGGUGCCUUCGGGAACUGUGAGACAGGUGCUGCAUGGCUGUCGUCAGCUCGUGUUGUGAAAUGUUGGGUUAAGUCCCGCAACGAGCGCAACCCUUAUCCUUUGUUGCCAGCGGUCCGGCCGGGAACUCAAAGGAGACUGCCAGUGAUAAACUGGAGGAAGGUGGGGAUGACGUCAAGUCAUCAUGGCCCUUACGACCAGGGCUACACACGUGCUACAAUGGCAUAUACAAAGAGAAGCGACCUCGCGAGAGCAAGCGGACCUCAUAAAGUAUGUCGUAGUCCGGAUUGGAGUCUGCAACUCGACUCCAUGAAGUCGGAAUCGCUAGUAAUCGUAGAUCAGAAUGCUACGGUGAAUACGUUCCCGGGCCUUGUACACACCGCCCGUCACACCAUGGGAGUGGGUUGCAAAAGAAGUAGGUAGCUUAACCUUCGGGAGGGCGCUUACCACUUUGUGAUUCAUGACUGGGGUGAAGUCGUAACAAGGUAACCGUAGGGGAACCUGCGGUUGGAUCACCUCCUUACCUUAAAGAA
rnacentral:rRNA from 1 species